rnacentral:rRNA from 1 species
GGGUGAGUAACACGUAUGCAACCUGCCUGCCACAGCCGGAUAAUCGGGAGAAAUUCCGUCUAAUACGGCAUAAUGCAUCGACGGGACAUCCUGUUGGUGCCAAAGGUUGAUUCCGGUGGCGGAUGGGCAUGCGUCGCAUUAGUUAGUUGGCGGUGUAACGGACCACCAAGACGACGAUGCGUAGGGGUUCUGAGAGGAAGGUCCCCCACACUGGUACUGAGACACGGACCAGACUCCUACGGGAGGCAGCAGUGAGGAAUAUUGGUCAAUGGGCGGGAGCCUGAACCAGCCAAGUCGCGUGAGGGAUGACGGCCCUAUGGGUUGUAAACCUCUUUUGCCGGGGAGCAAAGUGCCGCACGUGUGCGGUUUGGAGAGUACCCGGAGAAAAAGCAUCGGCUAACUCCGUGCCAGCAGCCGCGGUAAUACGGAGGAUGCGAGCGUUAUCCGGAUUUAUUGGGUUUAAAGGGUGCGUAGGCGGACGCUUAAGUCAGCGGUAAAAUUGCGGGGCUCAACCUCGUCGAGCCGUUGAAACUGGGUGCCUUGAGUGGGCGAGAAGUACGCGGAAUGCGUGGUGUAGCGGUGAAAUGCAUAGAUAUCACGCAGAACUCCGAUUGCGAAGGCAGCGUACCGGCGCCCAACUGACGCUGAAGCACGAAGGCGUGGGUAUCGAACAGGAUUAGAUACCCUGGUAGUCCACGCAGUAAACGAU